CGAGGAAAAGGAGUCCACCGAGUCUGCUUCCAUUCACCGGUUCUUCCGCAAAGCAUCUCCUUUCCCUCGAUUCCUUCCUGUUCUCCCGCAGAAAGAUUUCCGACCCCCUCCUAGGUCUCUCGUUCUCGUUAUGGAUAAGGAGUACGACGUCAUCGUCCUAGGGACUGGGCUCAAGGAAUGCAUCCUCAGCGGCCUGCCGUCCGUCGAUGGCCUCAAGCUCUGGAAAAGGUUUAGGGGCAGUGAUAAGCCCCCCAGCACUUUUGGGUUCCAGCAGAGAGUACAAUGUUGACAUGAUUCCAAAGGUAUCUUUUCUGCUGUUCUUAUUCCCACAAUGUUGUCCCAAAAUGGAAGUUCAUUGCUUUUGUCUCAACUGAAGCUGAGACUGACCAUCCAGAUAUAGAACUAAAGGCAGGAAUUGAUCUUCUGGGACGAGUAGAUGAAUUAUUUUUUGAUACUUAUGACGGAUAUGAACCAGUCAACGACCCUUCACUUGAUAAUUGCUUCAUUUCAACUAGCUAUGAUGCUACAACUCAUUUUGAAUCAACUGUUGUGGAUGUUCUUUCUAUGUAUACCAAGAUCACUGGAAGGUUUGCAAUGCUACACGAUUUGCUACCAGGAUGAUCCACUGCUCGAUGAGGUAAGAGGUUCACUGUAUCCAUCAAAUUUCAUUUUAUAAUGCAUUGCAAAAGUGGAUCAGAAUGUGGAAUUUUGGAUUAUCAGCAUCAUAGCUCCCUUUCCCGCCUCUACUAGGUGUAGCAACAUAUUAUGUUGCAAUAUGUAGUUUACCUAUUGAUUAGCUUCUAUCAUGUAUUGACAAUGUUGACUAAUAUCAUAUAUUGAGAGCAAUACUAUUCCUGGGUUCCAUAAAUUGAUGCUAUUGAUCUCUAGACACUGGCACUUCCUGAGGCAUCACAUAUCAUGCAUUGUAAUAUCUACCAAUAUUAUAUGCUGAAGGAGCAAUAUUCACCAUAACCGCCUCCUAAGGCACCGCAAAUUAGGUUUUGGUAUCAGUAGGGGGAGGAUGAUGCAUCUUCUACUCAACUUGUGAAUAUCAAAGUUUUUAUUCUCGGUCUCAAACUCUCAUGUAUGAUUGAACUUGUAUGCUAACUUUAGAAUUUUUAUGUUUUACAUAUGUUCUUUUCCUGGUAUGUUUAUUAAUAGGUCAUGGGUAAAUGUAAAAGGUCACAUACUUAUACUCACCAAAACACGGUCCAAUCGUCCAACCACCAACUGGUUAAUAUCAGACGGUUGUCCGAAUCAUAGAAUGUGGGUGAUGUCAGAGUUGAUUCCAAAAACUUCAUCCAAGGUUGAAUCCAUGAGUAUUUGUUGCAAGGAUUGGUCAGAGACUUUUGAUCUCAGCAUAGAUCUAAGUGCUGCUGAAGAAUGAUGACUGCAUCCAGGGUAUAUGACAGGAAAGUUCUCAUCUCAGUAUUUUUCAUCAUAUGAUCAUAUCAAUAUAGCAUUCUAUUUGAAGCUGAAUGGAUCUGCAAUGAUGAUAUGUGCUUCUUGAAUAUAUUCUCCCUGAACAUAGCAUAGCUAUUAAGUUAACAUUGUACAUUAAGAUUCAUUGUUUUUGAUGGGUUUCACUGUUGUCAAGGUUGUAUCAGAGAUGGAUUAUGCUAUAGAAGAAUGAUGUUUCUCUCCUGUGUUC